ACCUUCUUGCUAAGCAGUGUGUUGAGAUUAUAAAAACCAGCAUUAUGUCUUGGAUUUUGUAAUAACAAGCACACACAAGAAAAAGUAGCUGCUCUGAACUCCAAAGACGGGAAUGCGUCUUUGUAAAUGUCCAGUGCCUUAAUAUUUGUUGAGAUAUGU